UACAGAGGUCUCAAGCGUUGUUCGGAUUCAUUGGGCGUAAAGGGUGUGUAGGUGGCGCCGUAAGUCGGGUGUGAAAUUUCGGAGUUUAACUCCGAAACUGCAUUCGAUACUGCGGUGCUUGAGGACUGGAGAGGAGACUGGAAUUUACGGUGUAGCAGUGAAAUGCGUAGAUAUCGUAAGGAAGACCAGUGGCGAAGGCGGGUCUCUGGACAGUUCCUGACACUGAGACACGAAGGCCAGGGGAGCAAACGGG
rnacentral:rRNA from 1 species